AGUGAACGCUGGCGGUAGGCCUAACACAUGCAAGUCGAACGGCAGCACAGUAAGAGCUAGCUCUUACGGGUGGCGAGAGGCGGGAGGGUGAGAAAUGCACCGGAAUCUACUUUUUCGUGGGGGAUAACGAAGGGAAACUAACGCUACUACCGCAUACGACCUGCGAGCGAAAGAAGGGGAUCUUCGGACCUUGAGCGAUGGCAUGAGCCGGUGUCGGAUUAGCUAGUUGGAGGGGUAAAGGCCCACCAAGGCGACGAUCCGUAGCUGGUCUGAGAGGAUGAUCAGCCACACUGGAACUGAGACACGGUCCAGACUCCUACGGGAGGCAGCAGUGGGGAAUAUUGGACAAUGGGCGCAAGCCUGAUCCAGCCAUACCGCGUGGGUGAAGAAGGCCUUCGGGUUGUAAAGCCCUUUUGUUGGGAAAGAAAAGCAGCAGGUUAAUACCCCGCUGGUCUGACGGUACCCAAAGAGUAAGCACCGGCUAACUUCGUG
rnacentral:rRNA from 1 species